CAGCACUUGAUACUAACUGAGUUAUCUGUGCCCUAGCCUUGUGUCAGAGGCUCGUGGUGUGGUGAUAGCUGGGUUGAAGAAGUGCAGUAUUUUAAAAAAGCCAUGAAUAUUUUAAGCGCAGUGUGUGAAGACAUGCUCUGAGUUAUAUCUCAGUGGCACAACU